GACAGAGGGUGCAAACGUUGUUCGGAAUUACUGGGCGUAAAGCGCGUGUAGGCUGCUUCGAAAGUCGGAUGUGAAAGCCCUGGGCUCAACCUAGGAAGUGCAUUCGAAACUUCGAAGCUGGAGUCCUGGAGAGGAAGGCGGAAUUCUCGGUGUAGAGGUGAAAUUCGUAGAUAUCGAGAGGAACACCGGUGGCGAAGGCGGCCUUCUGGACAGCGACUGACGCUGAGACGCGAAAGCCAGGGGAGCGAACGGG
rnacentral:rRNA from 1 species